rnacentral:rRNA from 1 species
AUGUCCACCUGCCUCAUUGACAUGAUAAGUGCCAAUGAAUUGGAUUUUAUUGGACUUCAGGAAACUAUGAAGAAGUCGUAUACUCCUGCUUUCUUUAGGCAAAUUGACCCUUAUCAGAAGUUUCAUUGGGAAUGGAUCCCUUCAAGGGGGAAAUCUGGUGGCAUUCUUUGUGGGCUUAACAAGGAAAAAUUUGAUAUCCUUACGACUAAGUGUGGUAAAUAUAUCCUGCAGCUGAACCUGUUCGAUAAGAACAAAAAUUGUAGCUGGGCCUUGAUGACUGUGUAUGGUGCUGCACAUGAUGAACAGAAGCCUGAAUUCAUUGCUGAACUAUCAUCUAUGUGUCACAGCAGUAAUAUUCCUUAUCUAGUUGGGGGAGAUUUUAAUAUCACUCGGCAUGGUGGGGAGAAGAACAAAAAAAACAUCUAUUCCCACUUCUCGAAGGUGUUUAAUUCUGUUAUUCAUCUACUUGGGUUGAGAGAGAUUUAUAUGACUGGUGGGUGUUACACCUGGUCAAAUAAAUAAGAAAUCCCAACUUUGGAAAAGCUAGAUAGAGUUCUCAUGUCUCCUGAGUGGGAGGAUCUAUACCCUCUUGCUUCUGUACAUAAGUUGGUCAAGGAUAUAUCAGAUCACAACCCUUUGUUAGUGGAUGGUGGGAGUGCC